AAGCUUUCCAUCUUCAUCAUGGCCGAGACCUCUCUCCUUCUCAUCCUUCUUUUUACUUACGGCACUGGUACUUUUGCCCAGUUCGUAUUGACUCAGCCGCCUUCUUCAUCGGCAUCACCUGGAGAAACCGUGAAGAUCCUCUGUACCAGGAGCAGUGGAGGUAUUAGAGACAGCUAUGUAUCCUGGUACCAACAGAAGCCCGGCACUGCUCCCAAACUACUGAUAUAUCAGUUCAGCAACAGAUACUCGGGAAUCUCAGACCGCUUCUCCGGCUCUACGGACACUUCUGCCAAUUCUGCCACUUUAACCAUCUCCGGCGUCCAAGCAGAGGAUGAAAAUGAUUAUUACUGUUUAUCUUAUACUAGUAGCAACCAGUGCACAGUGGUACAACCUCAUGGGGAAGUGAGACAAAAACCUCCUUUUAGGUCACAGUCGGUUGACUGA